AGUCUAGCUCAGGUAUUGUGAUCUCACAACGGAAGUAUACCUUAGAUAUUCUUGAGGAGACAGGAAUGACAGGUUGUAAACCUGUUGACACUCCAAUGGAUCCGAAUUCUAAACUUCUUCCAGGACAGGGGGAGCCUCUGUAUUGUGAUCUCACAACGGAAGUAUACCUUAGAUAUUCUUGAGGAGACAAGAAUGACAUGUUGUAGGCCUGUUGACACUCAAAUGGAUCCGAAUCCUAAAGUUCUGCCAGGACAAGGGAGCAUCUUAGCGAUCCUGCAAGAUAUACGCGGUUGGUUGGUAAAUUAAAUUACCUCAUAGUGACUAGACCUGACAUUUCCUUUCUUGUGAGUGUUGUGAAUCAGUUUAUAGAUGCAGUUGUCCGCAUUUUUCGGUAUAUAAAAUCAGCUCUAUGCAAAGGCUUGUUGUUUGAGGAUCGAGGCCAUGAGCAGAUCAUUCAAUACUCAGAUGUUGGUUGGGCAGGAUCACCUUCUGAUAGAUGUUCUACGUUUGCAUAUUGUGUCUUAAUAGGAGGAAAUUUGGUGUCUUGGAAGAGCAAGAAACAAAAUGUGGUUGCUCGAUCUAGCACAGAAGUAGAAUAUUGAGCAAUGGCUAUGGCGACAUGUGGGACUAUACUGGGUAGUUGUUGUUGUUGGCUAUGGCGACAUGUGAGCUAAUUUAGAUCAAACAGUUGCUCAAGGAGUUAAAAUUUGGUGAGAUUAGUCAGAUGAGACUUGUGUGUGAUAAUCAAGCUGCUCUUCAUAUUGCGUCAAAUCCAGUGUUCCAUUAGAGGACUAAACACAUCGAGAUUGAUUGUCACUUUGUUAGCAAAAAGAUACUGUUGGGAGAUAUUGCUAUAAAAUUUGUGAAGUCGAAUGAUCAGCUUGCUGAUAUUUUUACCAAGUCCCCCACUGAUCUCUUCGUAUUAGUUAUAUAUGUAACAAGCUCGGUACAUAUGAUUUAUAUGCACCAGCUUGACGGGGAGUGUUAGUUUGAUAGUUAAAUAGUAUUAUAUAACUAUGAUAGUUAAAUAAUCCCAUGUGUAUUAGGAGUAUGAUAUGUAUUAUAUAUAUAUGGCUCAUUGUAUUAUUGUCAAUUUUUAAUCAAUAAUAUAUUUUCUCCCGUGCUUUCUCGAAGAAAACAACUCAAAAUGAUCUUUCAUUAAGAAAAUCCUAGUACCUCUUGAAUGAUCAUCAAUGAAACUAAUAAAAUAACGAAAUCCUAAGGUUGGACUGACUCUACUAGGACCCAAUAUAUUAGAAUAAACUAAAGAAAAACAGACUCUGCACGACUCUCAAUACUACGAGGAAAGGAGGCUCGGUAUGUUUCCGGAGCUGACAUGACUCGCAAUCUAAUAUAGAUAAACUAGACAAACUAGGCACCAUUUUGUGAAGCUUGGAUAAGCUUAGAUGUCCUAAACGUCUGGGAAUUAGGUCCGAAGGAUUUGUAACUAGACAUUGCUUAGAGGAAUUGAG
rnacentral:lncRNA from 1 species